GAUCAUGGCUCAGGAUGAACGCUGGCGGCGUGCCUAACACAUGCAAGUCGAACGGAGUUAUUUUGGAAAUCUCUUCGGAGAUGGAAUCUUUAACUUAGUGGCGGACGGGUGAGUAACGCGUGAGCAAUCUGCCUUUAAGAGGGGGAUAACAGUCGGAAACGGCUGCUAAUACCGCAUAAAGCAUACAAAUUCGCAUUGUUUUGAUGACCAAAGGAGCAACUCCGUCUUUA
rnacentral:rRNA from 1 species